CAAUCAUUCAAGUUCGAGUCACAGGGCGAAGUGGACGUGUCGACGGAUGUGGAAUUUUUCAAACGUUCAAACGCUUUGACAGCAGCAGCAACAACAACUAGUGAGACUGUUGAAGCAGCGUUGACGCUACAGAAGUAAAUAAAAUAAAGAAACAACAACAAUUCAUCCAAAACGUGAAAUAUAGCUGUAAUUAGUGCAUAGUCGCAUUAGUUGCACGCUUAAGUGAAUUGUAGCUUCCAUUGUACAUACAUAUAUGCAUAUAAAUACAUACAUACUUACAUACACAUACAAAUUAACGUACGUGUGAAGCAUUUAUGUGAGUGUGAAUAUAACAUAAUAUCAAGAUAAUAAGGAUAAGGAGAAUAAACACCACGCAUACAUACAUAUGCACAUAAAUACCAUACAUAUAAACUGGUGUAUCUAAAAAUAGCUUAAACGUAAAUGAAUAACUUAAUUGGAGCAGUAAAUGCAUGGAUGUCGGUUGCAGG
rnacentral:lncRNA from 1 species